AUUGAACGCUGGCGGCAUGCCUUACACAUGCAAGUCGAACGGCAGCACGGGGCAACCUGGUGGCGAGUGGCGAACGGGUGAGUAAUGCAUCGGAACGUGCCAUUGAGUGGGGGAUAACGUAGCGAAAGUUGCGCUAAUACCGCAUAUUCUGUGAGCAGGAAAGCAGGGGACCGCAAGGCCUUGCGCUCUUUGAGCGGCCGAUGUCAGAUUAGCUAGUUGGUGAGGUAACGGCUUACCAAGGCGACGAUCUGUAGCGGGUCUGAGAGGAUGAUCCGGCCACACUGGAACUGAGACACGGUCCAGACUCCUACGGGAGGCAGCAGUGGGGAAUUUUGGACAAUGGGCGCAAGCCUGAUCCAGCCAUGCCGCGUGAGUGAAGAAGGCC
rnacentral:rRNA from 1 species